AAGGAUAAGGAACACGUUGGUUAAGUCUUAUUUAGUUUUGAGAGGUCUUGCAAGACGCAGAGACAAACUGUGGGGCCUUAGCUCAGCUGGGAGAGCGCCUGCUUUGCACGCAGGAGGUCAGCGGUUCGAUCCCGCUAGGCUCCAUAGGAUACAGUUCAACUGACCUUAAUAGAAGUGAAGUUUCAUUGUAUCUUAGUAUAGUCCAUUGAAAAUUGAAUAUCUAUAUCAAAUUCCACGAUCAUGAAAAUGAUUGUAGAAAAGUAACAAGAAAUAAACCGAAAAAAAGAUAAACGCGAACAUAUUAAAAAAAAUCAAGAAGGUCUAAGGACUGGAAAU
rnacentral:tRNA from 1 species